CAGGACAUGGCCCAGUGAUCCAUAAUGCCGAAGCUAAAAUUCUGGAAUAUAUUUCUCACCGAAAUAACCGAGAAGAACAAAUUAUCACCGUAUUCCGUGAUAACCUUGAGGAAUCAUUCUCAGUGAGCGAACUUAGGAAAAUGAUUUACAAGAACGUUCCAGAGAAUUUACAUAAAAUGGCGGAGCAUAAUCUCUUGCUUCACUUGAGGAAACUAGAGAAAGAUGGGAAAAUAUGUACGUAUCCUUCUGAACUUUAAUGCACUUUCUACCAGCAUUUAAACGUGUGCAGGUGCUUGAGUUUGUUUUUAGGUAGAACAGUGCUCAUCUGAGGUCUCCCUUCAAUACCACAUUCGGUGGAGAAGUAGGGUCCACGCCCUGCGCCAUAGUGACUUGGUGCCUGGGAGGAUGCCAAGGCCAAGGACACUGGCCGUGGGACACGUGAGGACAGGCACGGUCGUAAGCCGAUAGAAACAGUGAAGUCAGAGCUCGAUAGCUAUUUCCUGAUGGUAGAUGAACUUGUCAAAUCAGGCAGUCGAGUCCUUAAAAUCAAGAAGUGAGUCAAAGCUUGAAUUUUGUUUAGAAGCCCCAGCCAUGUGUUUACCUACAAGAAGAAAUUACUUUAUCGUCAUCAACAGAAUUCUUUUACGGAAGGUGCACCUUUUCUUACUAUAAAAGAAUUGGAAACCCAGUGAUAUACUUAUAUCUUGUUUUUACUCUCUGUUUCUUUUCCUACAGUUUCCAUCGCAAGUCCUGCCAAGAAAUGGAGAGCCUCCCUUUAGUUUCAGAUCAAUAAAGUUCUCAUUUUGCUUUUAGAA
rnacentral:lncRNA from 1 species